rnacentral:rRNA from 1 species
GUGAGGAAUAUUGGUCAAUGGGCGGGAGCCUGAACCAGCCAAGUCGCGUGAAGGAAGAAGGAUCUAUGGUUCGUAAACUUCUUUUGCAGGGGAAUAAAGUGCAGGACGUGUCCUGUUUUGUAUGUACCCUGAGAAUAAGGAUCGGCUAACUCCGUGCCAGCAGCCGCGGUAAUACGGAGGAUCCGAGCGUUAUCCGGAUUUAUUGGGUUUAAAGGGUGCGUAGGUGGUUUGAUAAGUCAGCGGUGAAAGUUUGCAGCUUAACUGUAAAAAUGCCGUUGAAACUGUCGGACUUGAGUGUAAAUGAGGUAGGCGGAAUGCGUGGUGUAGCGGUGAAAUGCAUAGAUAUCACGCAGAACUCCGAUUGCGAAGGCAGCUUACUAAGCUACAACUGACACUGAAGCACGAAAGCGAGGGGAUCAAACAGGAUUAGAAACCCUGGUAGUCC